CUUGUCCCUUGUUGGUUCCUCCAGUUAACCCACGUAACGGCACAUGUGCGCAUCAAAUGCGAUGUGACGCAGGCAUAUUGCAGGCCAGCUAUAAACACUAUUGAGUUUACCAACGUAUUUUAUUGAUUUAUGCAUGCAAGAAGGGGAUAUUCUUCAAGGUGUAUAUUUAAGUUUUACAAGUGGACCACAGAAGAGAGAGGCCCAACAGGAUGGCCAGUGUGCUCUGUAGUAGAGCCAGGCUGGUGACAUACCUGCCAGGGCUUCACGUACUUGUCCGGCGGAUCGCUGGACCCAACCAGAGAACAUUCACUGGUGCUGGAUCCUCUGGCUCUGAUGAGCCUCGAUUAGCCGUCAC